AUUGAACGCUGGCGGCAGGCUUAACACAUGCAAGUCGAGCGGGGGAAGGUAGCUUGCUACCGGACCUAGCGGCGGACGGGUGAGUAAUGCUUAGGAAUCUGCCUGGUAGUGGGGGACAACGUUUCGAAAGGAACGCUAAUACCGCAUACGUCCUACGGGAGAAAGUGGGGGAUCUUCGGACCUCACGCUAUCAGAUGAGCCUAGGUCGGAUUAGCUAGUUGGUGAGGUAAUGGCUCACCAAGGCGACGAUCCGUAACUGGUCUGAGAGGAUGAUCAGUCACACUGGAGCUGAGACACGGUCCAGACUCCUACGGGAGGCAGCAGUGGGGAAUAUUGGACAAUGGGCGCAAGCCUGAUCCAGCCAUGCCGCGUGUGUGAAGAAGGUCUUCGGAUUGUAAAGCACUUUAGGUUGGGAGGAAGGUCAGUAGCUUAAUACGUUGCUGAUUUGACGUUACCGACAGAAUAAGCACCGGCUAACUCUGUGCCAGCCGCCGCGGUAA
rnacentral:rRNA from 1 species